AUUGAACGCUGGCGGAAUGCUUUACACAUGCAAGUCGAACGGUAACAGGUCUUCGGAUGCUGACGAGUGGCGAACGGGUGAGUAAUAUAUCGGAACGUGCCCAGUCGUGGGGGAUAACGUAGCGAAAGUUACGCUAAUACCGCAUACGAUCCGCGGAUGAAAGCGGGGGAUCGCAAGACCUCGCGCGAUUGGAGCGGCCGAUAUCAGAUUAGGUAGUUGGUGGGGUAAAGGCUCACCAAGCCAACGAUCUGUAGCUGGUCUGAGAGGACGACCAGCCACACUGGAACUGAGACACGGUCCAGACUCCUACGGGAGGCAGCAGUGGGGAAUUUUUGACAAUGGACGCAAGUCUGAUCCAGCCAUUCCGCGUGCAGGAUGAGGGCCCUCGGGUUGUAAACUGCUUUUGUACGGAACGAAAAGGUUUCCAUUAAUACUGGGAGCUCAUGACGGUACCGUAAGAAUAAGCACCGGCUAACUACGUGCCAGCAGCCGCCGUAA
rnacentral:rRNA from 1 species